AGAUGAUGUUUAAUAGCACAAUUUCGCACAUAAAUUUAAUUUAAUUUUUUAAUUUAUCUGACUUUGCCUUGGUAACAAUAUUAAGAAGAAACAUCAAAUUACUAUAUAUAUAUAAACAAGGCAGGAUUUCCGCAACAGCUACAGCCAAUUACUGCGGAUCCUUCUUCACAAUAUUCGUUAAAUUAGUUAAGUUUACUGAACAGUAAACGGAAAAGGACUAAAUAAUAAAAUCAAUCAAUCAUUAACGAAUUGUUCAAUUGACGUGUUCAAUCAACCAACCAAGAGAUCAAGCAAUCAGACACUUACUUAUAAAAAUAUAUUUUACCAUUGGUAAAGCAAAACCUUUCCAUACAAUGUAAUAGUACGGAUAUGAAAAAACCUUAAAAACACAGUGACUGAAAUUUACACACAAUCCAGUUUGAAAAUAACCUGAAAGAUUCCCGUUCACAGCCGCGAUUUGGAAUUACCUGGUAUGGAAAGGCCCUGGUUUUACCAAAAUAUAAAUAAUCAGUUGCGCGAGGUUCAAAAACAACAAGAAGGGGGAACCAGCAAACUUCGAACACAGUUACAUUUGACACAGGUUGUCUUCCAUGUACGUGGGUCGUCAGGGUCGAAAGUUAAGGAAAGAGCGGAGUAGUAGUAUUCUUUCAGAAUAUUCUUGAAAGUGGCAAGAGAAGAUUUGUUGUGGUUUUGGGUUAUUUCUUUCGGUAGUGCGUUCCAUGUCCGUGUUGAUCGUAUUAAGUAAGAUCUGCUGUACGUUGAUGUUCUGUAUCGUUGCUCUUUGAAGGUAGUACCAACCGCACUACGCGACAAUCUUGUUGAUCUCUCAGAUUUCUUUGAUUUCGGUAGGAAAGUAUCGUUCACAUGGAUAAGAUUGUUUAUUAGUUUGAAGAAAAAGACCAUGUCUAAGUACUCAUGCC